rnacentral:rRNA from 1 species
AACGAACGCUGGCGGCGUGGCUAAGGCAUGCAAGUCGAGCGGACCUAUUCAAAGGGUAACUGGAGGAUAGGUUAGCGGCGGACGGGUGAGGAAUACAUGGACAACGUACCCCGGACUCAGGGAUAGCGGCGGGGAAACCCUUUGCGAAAGUGCCGGUAAUACCUGAUGAACUCGUAGGAUCGCAUGAUCCAUCGAGCAAAGCUCCGACGGUCUGGGAUCGGUUCAUGUCCUACAGCUAGUUGGCGGGGUAACGGCCCACCAAGGCGGCGACGGGUACCGGGUGUGAGAGCAUGACCCGGCACAUCGGGAACUGAGACACGGUCCGGACACCUACGGGUGGCUGCAGCAACGAAUAUUCCGCAAUGGACGCAAGUCUGACGGAGCGACGCCGCGUGC